rnacentral:misc_RNA from 1 species
GAUGAAGAACGUAGCGAAAUGCGAUAAGUAAUGUGAAUUGCAGAAUUCAGUGAAUCAUCGAAUCUUUGAACGCACCUUGCGCUCCUUGGUAUUCCGAGGAGCAUGCCUGUUUGAGUGUCAUGAAUAUCUCAAGUCCUUGAUUUUGUUAAAGAAUUGAGGACUUGGACUUGGGGGCUGCCGGCGUCAGUCGGCUCCUCUCUAAAUGUAUUAGCUGAGUCUUUCGAGACGCAGCCUCGGUGUGAUAAUUGUCUACGCCGUGUGUAUGCGCCUUGCUUGUUGCUACCCCGCUUGAAUAAGGCGGUUGUGUGGCUGGGACACAGCUUCUAACUGUCUUUUAAUGACAAUACUUGACAUCUGACCUCAAAUCAGGUAGGACUACCCGCUGAACUUAAGCAUAUCAAUAAGCGGAGGA